rnacentral:rRNA from 1 species
UGGCGGACGGGUGAGUAACGCGUGGGUAACCCGUCUCAUACAGGGGGAUAACAGUUAGAAAUGACUGCUAAUACCGCAUAAGCGCACGGUUUCGCAUGGAACAGUGUGAAAAACUCCGGUGGUAUGGGAUGGACCCGCGUCUGAUUAGCUGGUUGGCGGGGUAACGGCCCACCAAGGCGACGAUCAGUAGCCGGCCUGAGAGGGUGGACGGCCACAUUGGGACUGAGACACGGCCCAAACUCCUACGGGAGGCAGCAGUGGGGAAUAUUGCACAAUGGGGGAAACCCUGAUGCAGCGACGCCGCGUGAGUGAAGAAGUAAUUCGUUAUGUAAAGCUCUAUCAGCAGGGAAGAAAAUGACGGUACCUGAGUAAGAAGCCCCGGCUAACUACGUGCCAGCAGCCGCGGUAAUACGUAGGGGGCAAGCGUUAUCCGGAUUUACUGGGUGUAAAGGGAGCGUAGACGGCAGUGCAAGUCUGGAGUGAAAGGCGGGGGCUCAACCCCCGGACUGCUCUGGAAACUGUACG